GACGAACGCUGGCGGCGUGCUUAACACAUGCAAGUCGAACGGAAAGGCCCUGCUUUUGUGGGGUGCUCGAGUGGCGAACGGGUGAGUAACACGUGAGUAACCUGCCCUUGACUUUGGGAUAACUUCAGGAAACUGGGGCUAAUACCGGAUAGGAGCUCCUGCUGCAUGGUGGGGGUUGGAAAGUUUCGGCGGUUGGGGAUGGACUCGCGGCUUAUCAGCUUGUUGGUGGGGUAGUGGCUCACCAAGGCUUUGACGGGUAGCCGGCCUGAGAGGGUGACCGGCCACAUUGGGACUGAGAUACGGACCAGACUCCUACGGGAGGCAGCAGUGGGGAAUAUUGCACAAUGGGCGGAAGCCUGAUGCAGCAACGCCGCGUGCGGGAUGACGGCCUUCGGGUUGUAAACCGCUUUCGCCUGUGACGAAGCGUGAGUGACGGUAAUGGGUAAAGAAGCACCGGCUAACUACGUG
rnacentral:rRNA from 1 species